GUUGAGAUUAAAUGUUUCCGUUCAAUGGGUAUUUACUGUGAUCGUAUCAAGUACAAUGAAAUUAAAAUAGAAAUAACCCAAUAGAUACGAAGAAGUGUGAGUUCAAGCCGGGUGUCUGCUUGUUUCCUUUGAAUAUCAAGUUGGUCGUUGUGGAUUCCCAACUCCCUCUUUACAAUCUAUCUAUUCCUCU